rnacentral:rRNA from 1 species
GACGAACGCUGGCGGUGUGCUUAACACAUGCAAGUCGAACGGUAAGGCCCUUUCGGGGGUACACGAGUGGCGAACGGGGGAGUAACACGUGAGUAACCUGCCCUCAUCUCUGGGAUAACAGUCGGAAACGGUUGCUAAUACUGGAUAUGAGCUUGCAAGGCAUCUUGUGGGUUGGAAAGAUUUUUUUGGGUUGGGGAUGGACUCGCGGCCUAUCAGCGUGUUGGUGGGGUAGUGGCUCACCAAGGCUUCGACGGGUAGCCGGCCUGAGAGGGCGACCGGCCACAUUGGGCCUGUGAGACGGCCCGAACUCCGACGGGAGGCAGCAGUGGGGAAUAUUGCACAAUGGACGGAAGUCUGAUGCAGGAACGCCGCGUGCUGGAUGACGGCCUUCGGGUUGUAAACCGCUUUCAAUUGUGACGAAGCUUUUUUGUGACGGUAGCAGUAGAAGAAGCACCGGCUAACUACGUG